rnacentral:rRNA from 1 species
GAUGAACGCUGGCGGCGUGCUUAACACAUGCAAGUCGAACGGGAAUUACUUUAUUGAAACUUCGGUCGAUUUAAUUUAAUUCUAGUGGCGGACGGGUGAGUAACGCGUGGGUAACCUGCCUUGUACAGGGGGAUAACAGUCAGAAAUGACUGCUAAUACCGCAUAAGCGCACAGGACCGCAUGGUCCGGUGUGAAAAACUCCGGUGGUAUAAGAUGGACCCGCGUUGGAUUAGCUUGUUGGUGGGGUAACGGCCCACCAAGGCGACGAUCCAUAGCCGGCCUGAGAGGGUGAACGGCCACGUUGGGACUGAGACACGGCCCAGACUCCUACGGGAGGCAGCAGUGGGGAAUAUUGCACAAUGGGGGAAACCCUGAUGCAGCGACGCCGCGUGAAGGAAGAAGUAUCUCGGUAUGUAAACUUCUAUCAGCAGGGAAGAA